rnacentral:lncRNA from 1 species
UUGAAUUUGAAUUCAAUGGUAAUUCUAAAAAUUCGCAUAUGAUUUCAAGUGUUCAAGAACCAAAGCUCAAUUUGAAACCAUUUUUUGAGAAUUUCUCUAAAUUGGAAGAGUCCGUUGCUAUACAUGAUUCUAAAGAUUGAUAUCCUUUUCUUUUUAUUUUAUUUUGUAUGUUUAUUUUCAAUUUUAUAAUGUUGUGUGUUUUUUUAGGUGUGUUUCUUUUAUUGUUGUUUUUUUUUUCACUAAUGAAAUUGAAGGAUCGUUUAGGCCAAGUUUAUGCAGACUUUCUAGGUAAAGCUCAAAAUUCGUCCCUUUGUUCAAAAUUUUGCUCCUUAUUGUCCUUCAUAUAUUUUGCACAUUUAAUCUUUACAUUGAGGACAAUGUUUCAUUUAGGUUGGGGGAAAGGAAUCAAAAUGUUCAAAAAAAGAAAAAAAAAUUUCUUACUGACCGAUGAUAAUAUUUGAAAUUGUUUUUAUAUUAUUAUGACUAGGGGAUGCUACUUUGAUUUAGUUUAAGCUUGUUCAUGUUAGAUUGAUCUACAUUGAGCACAAUAAUCAUGAAAAUCACAUAUUAUUUAGAUUGGAUCAAUGGAUAGAAUAUGUAGAAUUAAUUAUGACCAAAAAAAAAAAAAUUUCCAACUAAACCAAUUCUAGGAUAGUUUGGGGUGGUUGAGCUGUUGUGGGGAGACAUUGAGAUAGAUGUGGAUUCCAUGUGUGUUGAAUUUUGUGUGGAUUGCUUAAGACCAAUGAGAUGAUAAUUAGGUGAAAAUCUUAAGUUAAAGAUUGAUUUUCGAGAAAAAGUGUUUAAUGAGGGGCAUUGCACUAAUCAUUGCAUAGAAGGAAAAAAGCUGCCAUGUUGUGAAGCUGCCCUAAAAGAGCCCAAUGAGGAAAAUUAUAAAAAUAAAAAGAGAUAGGCUAGUGCAUGAAACAGAAUACGCACGGCAAACUUGAAAAAAGCAGGUGCAUGAAACAGAAGACGCACUACAUGCCUUGAUUGAGUCCCAAACACUUAUUUUAGAGAAUUAGACCUUUAAUAAGAGAUUAGUAGCUUAGUUGAUUCUUGGAGGUUGAGUCAGUCAAAAUUAAGGAGAAUCCUCAUUUAUUGAUGUGUUGAGCUACAAU